CUUGACGGUUUGGGAGCGCUCCUCGAUCUUAUUCUUAUUGCAGCAGCGAUGGAUGGCCACAACCUCGCAUGUCCCCUGCUUCACCUGUCCCGCCGAGUACAAAUGGAGUGCGGGAGAGAAGGAGAUGACAAGCGCCGCCCGCCGCCGACAAGCCCAGACAUCUUGAACUGAUGGCUCAGCCGAGCGUUUGCCAUACGGAUGCAGGUGAGCGAGAAUGUCAUGAAAUUGACCAAAAAGUUCUUUUUUGCUGUCAAUAACUGACAAGACAACAUUCCUACUAAAUUAGUCCUAACAGCUUAAAUCCUAAUAGCUUUUUUUUUUUUUUUAGUCUGGGACAGCCUUUGGGUCGAAAGGUUGUGAGAUCUAUCUUUGUUCCACUUGCAGCAUCUCCUCCGCACCCGGCCAUAAAUCCUCCCGACGUUAUCGAUGUCUAACAGGCCCACCUCCGACCUGACCUCACUUUAUGCUAAUUCUAGUGUGAGUCACUGUGGCGGCCUUUGAGCAUGGCCCACCUUUGUAAAUUACGACAUGUAUGCUGCAUGCAUGGACACGCACACAUAAAAGUACUUGGAAGUCGGCGCUCAAGUGCGGCAAGAUCACUUGUGAGUCGUGCCAACCGCCUCUCCUCUUUGUCAUCAGUUAUGGGUUGUGUAUAUUUAGCAUACCACACAUUACCUCCUCCAUGCGUGGAAUCCGGCUUGACGUGACAUUUGUACAGUGAGAGAACUAUAUUUGUUGUAGCAGCCUUUAAGACAGACUAAACUACUUUCAUGGGUGGUAAUUUAAAUAAAAUGAUGAUUUAUUUAUUUGUUUAUUAGCCUUUGACUCAAUGUAGUUCACAAAACCACACAAUGCAUCUCAUGG